rnacentral:rRNA from 1 species
UACGGAGGGUGCGAGCGUUAUCCGGAUUUACUGGGUUUAAAGGGUGCGUAGGUGGGCAGGUAAGUCAGUGGUGAAAUCUCCGGGCUUAACCCGGAAACUGCCAUUGAUACUAUCUGUCUUGAAUAUCCUGGAGGUGAGCGGAAUAUGUCAUGUAGCGGUGAAAUGCUUAGAUAUGACAUAGAACACCGAUUGCGAAGGCAGCUCACUACGGGGUCAUUGACACUGAGGCACGAAAGCGUGGGGAUCAAACAGGAUUAGAAACCCUAGUAGUCC